UACAGGAGGGGGCCAGCGUUAUUCGGAAUUAUUGGCGUAAAGGGCGCGUAGGCGGCCAUGCGUGUCUUCCGUGAAAUCCCUCGGCUUAACUGAGGACGUGCGGAAGAAACUGCAAGGCUCGAGUCCGGGGAGAGGGGGGUGGAAUUCCCCAGUGUAGCGGUGGAAAAUGCGUAGAUAUUGGGAGGAACACCGGUGGCGAAGGCGGGCCCCCUGGACCGGUACGUGACGC
rnacentral:rRNA from 1 species